AUAUUAUCAGAGAACUAAUAGAGUUGUUAUGAGGAUUUAAUGAGAUAAUACAUGUGACACUGAUGAUAAAAAUCGUUCAAGAAUUUAGAUGUGACAUCUGCAGCAGGUUCAAAUCUCUCAGCUAUAAGACAAACUGGAUACUUCGUAAAGAUUUUCAUCUGUUAUGCACAGAGCCAAAAUCCUUUACUGAAAUUGUCUGGGCGAGCAGCCUGCUGGGUCCAGUGAUGCACUAGUAGACAAAGAAGUUGAAAGAGAAGGAUGGCAUAUUCUUUGGAUGACUGGCAGAUUGUGACACCAAAAUGGCAUCAAGCCCUACUAUGAUUCCAAGGACUUCAUGAUUAAACAAAAAUUGAUUUUUUUUUUCUUGCUGGGAGGGGGUAGUUGAAGUAAAUUUGAUCUUUACUUGGGGAAUGUGUAAUGUAUUAUCAUUCCAUAAUGAUACAUGGUAAUUGCUUUGGUAAUCAAACUUUAAAGGUUUUGUCUGUUUAUGAAACUUACGUAGUUACCACCUUUUAGUAUUGGAUUCUCUUACUUUAAGGGAACUACGGUAAAGAAAAACAUGUUUAAACUAAAAAAAUUAACCUAAAAAGGUUAAUUUAAAGACUUACCAUUUUUACGGGAAAGUUUUUACUUUGGGGGAUUUUUGAAAUUUCGCUCCCCCACAGCAUAUAUAAAAUAUGUUUCUGGGGUGCCUGGGUGGUUCAGUUGGUUAAGCGUCUGACUCUUGAUUUCAGCUCAGGGCAUGAUCUCAAGGUUAUGAGAUUGAGCCCUUUGUUGGGCUCACACUACACUUGAAGCCUGCUUAAGAUUCUCUCCUACUCCCUCUCUUCCUCUCAAAAAAAAAAUAAGUUUCUAUUUGCAAAAAGGUACUGUACACAGAAUUUUCUAAGAAAACAUCCUUUUGAGUAGGCUCUUGAACUCAACAGUAGAAAAUCACACUAUACAACUAAGUGCACAGAACAGUUGAAUUAAAAAAUUAGUAUCUUUAGACCUGUUAACUAAAUUCACUUAAAAUGAUUUAGUGAGCGGGUGUGAAUUGAAAAUAAACCUGUAUUUUCUAGAACCACUGAAUCACAAGAAAACUGGAACAUCAAAGUAUUCUCUGAACCAAAUCAAUAUUUUAUUUGGUUAGAGCCCCUGCUUUUGGUAUAUAUCAUUUAUUCCAGUUGUAGAGGAUUUGAAAGCAGUUCUGGGAAAUGAAGUGGGUGGAUUCUCAAUGUUGAAUCCCAUUUUUUUUUUUUUUUUUUCAGUGAAUCUUCAACAUUUUUUUAAUCUUAGCUUUCAACAAAAACUCUGGCAUCCCAGGAUAUAAAACUUAGAUUACAUUUUAUAUAGUUCAUGCCGCUCAUCUACAAACAGAAAAAGAUUCCCUCAUGACUUACCUUGAAAGCUGUUCAGGGCAUAUACUCUUUUAUUCAAGGCAUAUACUAUUCAAUUUGUCUGUGUGCCUCUGCCACUGCUGUCAGGGCGCAGUGCAACUAACCUAGCCAUCCUGCUAGGAAGAAGAUCUGUGGGUUGCUGCGUAGUGGAAGUUACAUCUAAUUUACAAGUCAGAUUAGAGAUCAGAAUCAUACGAUAGCUUUAUGUGGAAUUGAUUUCAUUUCAUGGUUUUUAAGCUAUGUUUUUCAUUGAAAGCAGUGUCUAUAACUGAAAGGUGUGGUGUAGCAUUUGAAUGCCUUAAACUCUUGAAUCUGGAAUGAAAGGAAUAUUCUUAUAGACGUUCAGAUCCUAGAACUCAGGGAUUUUGAAAUAAAAUGUUCUUGUCAUUCAUUUAUUGUGCCAUAAUUAAACUGCCCUGUGGAUUUUAUUUGGGUUAAUAUGAUUAAUAUUUGGAAAACUUUGCCAUUUUCAAAUAUGAGGCACUUUAGGAAAGACAGUUUUGUAUGUGUCUGUGUUUAAAUAAAUCAGCAAACAGCUUUUUACCUAUAAGUAAGAUUAUAUUUAAUAAAAAUUAGUGGGUUUAACAUUGAUAACCUAUUCCAGUCAGGAAUUCCACUGUGGUCUUCUGGAAACCUAUCAGGGGGAGGGAAAAAUAAAAGAACACUUUAUAAAUAGCAAUUUUGUUUUCCUGAAUCAAACUUUUUUCAAAAUAUAUGGAAGAAUGCCUAACUAUAGCUUGAUAGGUUGCUGUUACUCUUUAAUUCACCUGUUCUUACUGAAAUUGAGAAAACAUAUCAUAAAAGUAUAAAAAAAGUAGUUCAUUGCAGAAAGGGUAGUGCAGUUGGAAUUGAGAAUAUAGGGGCAAAGAAAAAAAUUUGUGUUUAUCUUUUAGAUUGAGUCAGUAAUUCAUUUGAGUGUAAUCAGGAGAAGAAAAUCCAGGUGUUUAAAACUAGCUUUGUAUCAGUGGUUAAAAUGAUGUCUAGUUUUAUUUUCCCCCAAUACCCAUGUGAUAAGUUCUCAUGAAUUGAUUUCUGAGGUAACAAAACAUUGGGAUUUAGAGCGUUUUGAGAAUUCAUCAAUUACAUUAUUUUGUCCACUGGUUGUUUUCCAUAGGACCUGUUCAUUUAUGAUAUUUACAGGACAUGAGGAAGACUGUGAUUCUGGCUUUCAUGGACUUCAAAAAAGACUGAGGAAAGAUUAAUGCCAAGUUAGGAUGUAGUAGGCAUACAUUACUCUAUUAAUUUUAGUAGAGCAGUGAUUGUUUAGGUGGAUCCUUCCCCUGUUGCCUUGGUCCCUAACUUCAUAAUCCACUGGCUAAAGCUGCUUUUCAUUAAGGCAAGUGAGAGGCAAUUUUAUGAAUGGAGAAAGGCUAUUCUAGACAUUGGGAAACUAGUGGAAUGUAAAGGGAGAAUGAGAUCGUAAAUAUGAUUGUGACAAGAUUAUAGAUGAGCACUCUGUUUUUGGAUUGACAAGGGUGCUAGAGGAAGGGUAUCAGAACAGAGUGGUUUAUUAUGUACUAUUUAUUGAAAGCCUCCUGUUUAGUAGGUCUCGACUAAGAUACUUUGCAUCAGUUUUAAUUCUUUCCACGACCUUGGAAGCAAGUGCAAUUAUCCCAGUUUCCUGAUGAGGAAAGGUACUAAGGGGUAUACCCAAGGUCUUAGAAGUAAAGGUAGAGUCCCACAUUAUGUUUCAUAUUGUAUAAAGGCCUUUUCUCUCUAGUCAUUGUCUGAUAAAUGAAGUAAGUAUUCCAAAAAAAAAAAAAAAAAAAAA